UGAAAUUCUCUUCCUUCAGCAUCUGCUUCCAGCACGUGUCCAGCUUCCUGUGUCCCCGAGCCUGCUGCUGCCUGUGGCUGGCUCAUCUUCAUCCGACAGUGGAUGAUGCGCAAGCUCUUUCCAGCUUUGGUGGACAGCAACGGAAGGACUCUCUCGUGUGCCAUGACCUGCUGACGUGAGAAGAAGGAAGCUUGCUCUCUAGACUGGCUCGCAGGGGUGUGCGCUCUACAAUGCCCAUCUGCUGCAUUUUCCUCCUCAUCUUGUCUCUUGUGACAGGAGCCAUAUUCUCCCCUCAUUUUGCCAGUAUCUUCCAGAAACUCACAUCACAGUUGAUACCCGUGCUCCAGUCAUAUAAGAUGGGCCAUGUAGAAGUUUUCACCUGUAGACCUGUCUUGCCAUGGUCAAUGGUCUUGGCUUGAUUUUCAAAAGGCUCUCGUGGCUCAGUUUAAGUGUCACACACUUCCUUCGUGACCGAUAGAUCCGAGUGGUCUGUUAGAGCCCCCAGAGCCAUUCCCCCGACUAGAAGCAUCCUUGUUUGUAGGGAUAGAGGAAUGUCAGAGGGUGUCACCUCCAGCACUCCUUCCCUAACAAACCUGCCCAGGACCCUGGCUGCAGCUGGAGGUGGCGGGCUGUAAAAGCUCACCUCACGGAGAUGCCGUGGUGAACUGCGUAGGUGUCUUCAGUCCUAAGAGGUUGGCUUCUGUCUACUUCACCUCCAGGACUUCAUCACGCCUUUCCUCCAUGCCGAUUCUCACCGAAGGUGGGGUAAAUGGGUGGGCUUUCUGAAGAGUGCGUGGCCAUGCUGCCACCCACAGGGUGUCUAUUCACCCAUUACAAUCUUCUCUGUGAUUUCAGUGGGAUCAUAAUAGACUAUGUGGUCAUGCGGAACAUAGAAGGAUUCAGGGUCAUGAGUCAAGUGAACCUCUAAUCCCGGAAUUGACAUUCCUGUUCUUAAGUCUAGUCAAUGUCAUUAACUACUAAAACCUUACAGUAAGCUUCUGGAACAAUCCUCGCAUCUGGUUUUGUUGUGUCAGAUGAUGCAAUGCACAGACGUUUCUAAAAAACCAAGGAGGAUUUGAGCACGCAUGGUGGAUUCCUUCCUCGGGAAAUCAUCCAUGAUCCAGUCCGCAUGGUGUCUUUGGGGGGGAAAGUGAGGUAAUGGUGCCCAUGCAGCUUUGUAGAGCAUGACAUUGGCUCUUCCCACUCUUCUAGGGUCCUGACCUCAGUGCGUCUCCUAAGGCUGUUCUUCCACGUGCAUAAAUGCGUCCUGCCCUCUGGCCACUCCUCGAGCUGGCCUUGCCUUGUGACCUGGCCUUUCUGACGGCUUGUCCUUCUAAGGUUCACGUACUGAACAUUUGGUGUCCAGGUGGUGGUGGUACUUUGGGGGGUUCUGUAAACUCUAGAUGGGGCUUAUCUGGAGGACGAGGUGGUUGGGUGGGGGUGUCCUUGGCGGGAUCUCAGAUCCAGCUCCUUCUUGCUCUGCCCUUUGCUUCCUGUCUGCCAUGAGGAGAGCAUGUCUCUUCUGGCUGCUGCUAAGGUGUUCUGUCUAAGAUCAUGAGAUGAACUGAUCACAGACCCUAAGAAUCAUUUGAUAGCGAGAACCCCAAGACUUCACGCUUUUACCUGUUCUCACAGGUGUUUAGUUGCAACUGGCUGAAAGCCCCUGGUCUGAUCCCAGUCCCCAGGAGUCACAUUGGCCUAAAGCCCUUGGUCAGAUGGCCCUGGCUGUGGGUGGCUGAAUUCCUAAAUGGAGCCAGGUGGCGCAGGUCUUGCUCUGUGGCCUUCAGUGGUGGCAGCAGCAGUGGGCCUUGUCGUUUCCACUUGGGUCCGGAAAUAACUGCUUGGAAUAACUGUUCCUCCCUCCCUCAGCUCCUCCUUGACCCUCUUUGAUGACUCUUCUCGUUAGUUCCUUCUUGUUACUUGGGGCUCACGUUUCCACUGGGCACUUGAAGACCCCCGUCUUCUGGGGAAGAGAAGCAGGCUCACUCCUAAUGCUGUGUACGUAGGUAGUGAUGGUGGUGCUGUGGGCCCCCUGUCACAUGUCUGCAUGCUGUGCAUGCUCAUCUUAGUCACCAGGCUCCUUACCCACUGGAGAGGAAGGGUGGUGGCAACCGUUGUACAUUUAUCCAGGAAGCACUGAUAGGGACCAUGAGGGGAUGGAUAUACAAACACACACACAUGCAUACACACAAUACAUAAAUAUAAUACAUGUAUACAUACAUAAAUAUUACACAUGUACAUAUAUACACACAUACGUGCAUGCAUAUGUUCAUGCACACAUGUGUGUAUAGACAUAUAUGAUUUUCUUAGGUUAACUUAGGUUACGAGCAAGUUAUCAUUAACUUUGUGUUAUGUGGCAUAUUUCUCUCCCUCAGUUUUUCUACUCAGGAAGAGACCUGAAGAGAUGCAGAAGAGAUCAAAAUGGAUGUCCAAUAGGCAAUAGGCUAGGAUAAUAUACCUGACCUUCUAACCCCUUGGUUGCUUUCCCCAACUACGCUUCACAGACUUGUGGGUAAAGGAUCCAAAUCUGGGCCAGCCUGGAACCCUGCAGCAGCCCAGGAUGGCCCAAUCCCAGCUAGAAAGAAACUGAGAUGUCCCAGCCCCAGCCGGCAAGGACCUGGCCUGACUCACCGUCUUCUGAGUAUCCUCGAAGACUUCGCGGGCCUCUUCAUAAGAACAUACUUCUUCCAUACACUCUCUUUCCAGAUUUCCUUUCU